rnacentral:rRNA from 1 species
ACGAUGGGUAGGGGUUCUGAGAGGAAGGUCCCCCACAUUGGAACUGAGACACGGUCCAAACUCCUACGGGAGGCAGCAGUGAGGAAUAUUGGUCAAUGGGCGUAAGCCUGAACCAGCCAAGUAGCGUGAAGGACGACGGCCCUACGGGUUGUAAACUUCUUUUAUAAGGGAAUAAAGUUCGCCACGUGUGGUGUUUUGUAUGUACCUUAUGAAUAAGCAUCGGCUAAUUCCGUGCCAGCAGCCGCGGUAAUACGGAAGAUGCGAGCGUUAUCCGGAUUUAUUGGGUUUAAAGGGAGCGUAGGCGGGCUUUUAAGUCAGCGGUCAAAUGUCACGGCUCAACCGUGGCCAGCCGUUGAAACUGUAAGCCUUGAGUCUGCACAGGGCACAUGGAAUUCGUGGUGUAGCGGUGAAAUGCUUAGAUAUCACGAAGAACUCCGAUCGCGAAGGCAUUGUGCCGGGGCAGCACUGACGCUGAGGCUCGAAAGUGCGGGUAUCAAACAGGAUUAGAUACCCUGGUAGUCCGCACGGUAAACGAUGAAUGCUCGCUAUGGGCGAUAUAUUGUCCGUGGCCAAGCGAAAGCGUU